rnacentral:rRNA from 1 species
GACAGAGGGUGCGAGCGUUGUUCGGAAUUACUGGGCGUAAAGCGCGCGCAGGCGGAUCCUGCAAGUCGGAAGUGAAAUGUGGCUGCUCAACGGCCACGCUGCUUCCGAUACUGCGGAUCUGGGGACCGGUAGAGGCUGGUGGAAUUGCAGGUGUAGCGGUGGAAUGCGUAGAGAUCUGCAAGAACACCCGUGGCGAAGGCGGCCAGCUGGGCCGGAUCCGACGCUGAGGUGCGAAAGCGUGGGGAGCAAACAGG